GUGUGAACAACAAAGGAUUCAUUGGUAUCGCCGGACUUCUCGGUCUUGGCCGCGGCAAAGUCUCGUUUCCAUCGCAGACGGCGAUGACGUACAACAAUAUAUUCUCCUACUGCCUCCCUUCUUCCCCAGAGUACACUGGCCAUCUCACCUUCGGAUCAGCUGGAUUAUCUAACUCCGUCAAAUACACUCCCAUCUCCGCAGUCCCAUAUAGCGCAUCCUUUUAUGGCCUUGAUAUCGUAGGUAUCUCCGUCGACGACAAGCAACUGGAGAUCCCCUCCACUACCGGUGCUGUAAUCGACUCUGGUACCGUGAUUACUCGCCUACCACCCAUGGCCUACGCGGCACUGCGAACCGCGUUCAAGGAGAAGAUGUCGAAUUAUAAGACUACGUUGGGACGAUCGAUUCUUGACACGUGCUACGAUUUCACCGGCCAAGAGACUAUGAACAUACCUAAAGUCUCCUUCUCCUUCAAAGGCGGCACCGUCGUGGAACUUGACUCAAUAGGGGUUUUGUACGUGUUUAAUAAGUCCACGGUUUGUUUGGCGUUUGCGGGGAAUAAUAACGAUGAUGACGUGACCAUUUUCGGGAACGUUCAGCAAAAGACAAUGCAAGUUGUGUACGACGGUCCCGGCGGUCGGGUCGGGUUUGCUCCCAAUGGUUGUAUGUAGUUGAUGUGAAACAAUAUAAAAUUGGUAUGUUUGUAUUUUUAAGUAAGUAUUAUCUUUCAUCAAGUGUUUGUAAGCUUGAGUGGCCGUCUGUGAAAGUGUCAAGGACCACUCAAGUAUGUGUACGAUCAAUAUUGAUCGUAUUAAGUAUCCUAAAGUGUGAACUAAGAAAGAAACAGAUUGUUUUGUCAAGCAAACUUGUCAGGUACAUGCUCUCAAUAAACGUAUAUAACAUUUCGAAAUUGUAAUAGAUCUAUCUUCGAAUGUAAUAAAUCUUAAGAGUUAAUUAACAUGUAUUAUGUUUACCACCUGCAUCUGGACUUUACGUGUAUAUAUGUAUAUUGUUUUUUUCUUCUCUUUGUUGGUAAAAUGUAUCCUAUAUUCACACAAAACAACUAACUUGGUUAAGCGCUUGGUUUCUUGAUGCAAAUGACAGAAAAUGAUGGACCCACCCUCAUCAGUCCAAGACUAAAUCCUUUUCUUGCGUGUUCUUUUGAGACUCAAGGUUUAUACUUGUAUAAUACAUGAUGUAUUAGUACAUACAUGAGUAUUAAAAAGAAAAUUACAGUAGGCGAUUCUAAUAUACCACAAAUCUCACAGUAUCGGACUUCAAUGUUUCAUACUCAAAACCAUUCUUAUGUGCACCCCUCUGAACUAGAACUUGCAUGGCUACCUUAGUUCUGAAUUCUUGACCCUUAACCAAAUCGAGACCAUCAUCCCAUUCUUCUUCUACUGCAGUCGUGGCUUCAACUCCUCCUCUUGCAGCUGCAACUCCGGCUCUUGCAGCUUCAACUUCCGCUCUUGCAGCUUCAACUUCCUCUCCUCCAGCUUCUUCUUCCACUCUUACUUCUGUUCCUUCAUACCCAUGCUCUAAAUUCUCAUGCAUCUCAAUGUCUUCAUGUUGUUCGGGUGUGUAAAGCGCGACCACACCAUCCAUCUCAUGAUCCUGAUCAGUUCCAUCUUGCUCAGUGUCAUCUUCCUCGGUCCCAUCAGAAAGACCAACAUAACUAUCAUCAGUUUCAUCAUCAUCUUCAUCAGAAAGACCAACAUAGCUAUCAUCAGUCUCAUCAUCAUCUCCUAAAAGUGACAUACCACCAUAUGUAUCAUCCAUGUCGCUGCUGAUCUCCACAUGUAAAACACUUCUACAUUUAUCAUGAUUUACUUGCAUGAGAUAACCCAAAACGUCUUCAUCACACCAAAUAUAUGAUGGCUUGUUCGAAUACAAUACCAUUGGAAAGUAACUAAUCUUCACCAUCCCAUCUCCAUUUGCCUUAAUCUUUCUGCAUAUACUUUCAACCAAUUCAGAAUACGUAAUCUCUUCCACAGCUGUCUUCAUCACUAGAGUGUGAAUUUCAUCUUCUCCCGAGAUCCAUCUUCUCUCACCCCCAUCUUUGAUGUAACUUCCUCCGUAAUCAAAACAUAUGAUUGUAAUAGGUGAGGCCAUAGAUUUCCUGAAACAAAAAUUAUGAUGAGUUAACCGUUUAAAGAAUUUAAGUUGUCCAAGAUCUUUGGUACAUACUCUAUUUAGUAAUACAAGUAAUACAAGUAAUACAUAUUGUAGCUUAGUAGUACUAGUAAUUCCAGUAUUUUCUAUAAAUUUUCAUUUUUGUUGAUUUAAACCUUUUAACAAACCCAGGGGGUAUUAUACAACCCACAAUAUCAUCUACCAAUAUUUUAAUGUAUUAUUUUGGUUUAAAACAGUGAAAAAUAAGUAGAAAUAUACAAAAUAGUCCUGAAAAAAACAUCAUUUUCAUACCAAUAUACCUAAAACUUUAAUCUUUCAUCAGUUUAAGUAUGUUUAAUCAACAAAUAACAUGUUACAAAACCCACAUUAUCGUCUAACAACAUUUUUAUGUUUUUUCCUAUCAAACUCGUGUUAAAAGAAUCGUGUUAAAAGAAGAGAACCUUCUCCAAGUUUUAUUUUCAAAACCUUUGAAAACUUUUAAGAUUUUUACAGCUAAGUUUUUAUUUUUUUCGUUACCCAUAACACAUAGAACAUAAGUAGUAUAUUAGUAUGAAAAUUUCGUGAAAAAAUCGUACCAAUUUUCGUCAAAAUAACCUCCAAAAUACGCCAAUGGAGCUUGAAAGAGAAGAAGAAAUCGCAGGUGGUUGGAAAAAAGGGAGCAGGAUCUGAAAAAAGGGAACAGAUGGACACCUGUGCGAAGGAGAGAGGUAGAUGGAGUGUGGGGUCGCCUGUUAGGUGUCCAUUAAUUAUGGACUUUAUGUGGGAGGAUGAGGGGUCCGCUUUCUAUUUUUAAAAUUAGAAAGUAAGUUGUGGGGUCCGUGUUUUAUUUUUAAAAUUAGAAAGUAAGGUGUGGGGUCAGCAAGAAAUAGAUAAUAAUAUAAUAGCUGAGGGUAAUAAAGAGAAGGGAAAUAUGGUAGGGUAGUUAGAAAAGAAGUGGGGUAUUGAGAAUACAAAAUUUCCAACUGGGUCAAUAUAGAUUACUUUCCUCAUUUAACGCUACGGAAAAAUUAAAAUCAGAUUUUGUUAGUUCUUGUAGCAGUUCGUGAAUUCGUGCUACCGCGAACUGCUACCAAUACUCAUAUUUCCAGUAGUGGUAACACUUGUGCAUUACAUGACGUAUUAAUAGAUACAUGAAUAGUAAAAACAAAAAUUACAGGGAGAGAUUAUAAUAUAUAUUUCAUUUAAAACUUGUUUUGAAGAUUGUAGGCAUUCUAUUUCCCACGUCUCGUGCAGGCUAUUGCACUGAUGUUAGGUUCAAAGCUUAUUCAAGAGGCCAUGGGGGUAAAGCAAGCAAGUUCUAAACAGUUUUGUGUCUAUUAUGUUUCUGCUUCUUUUUUUGCUGGUUUAACAAAAGUGUUGAGGUAUUAGCUUUAAAAAUUCGGUAGACUUUUCGAACACUAUCUUAAAUUAGUGGCCAAAACUGAUUUCGUAGAUAUAUAUCUCUAUACCCUACUUAUGUGAUAUGUGGCUAGCCUUUAGUCUAACAACAUCCAGUUCAGAUUUUAAUGAGCAAAGGGAUAUGGUUAUAAAAUGACCAACCAAAUUAUGUAAUUAGUAAGUAUUGCUGUGGGGGAAAGUGGAAAAUGAAGAAUUUCUUGAAUAUCUUAACCGUAAUCCUUUGUGUAUGGCUCAAUAGUCGAAGACUAAAUCUUUUUCUUGCGUGUUCUUCUGAGACUCGUCACUCAAGUUAUACUUGUGUUAGACAUGAUGUAUUAGUACAUACAUGAAUAUUAAAAGUAAAAUUACAAGGAGCGAUUCUACUAUAUUUCCUUUAUGUUUCGAAGAUGGAUUCAGUUAGAAUUGUAGGCACCGCAUUUCCCACGACUUUGGCCUUAGCCGCUGAUCCUAUUGUCUCUUUCAUUGACAGUGCGUUUGACAUAUCUUAUAUCUAUUAGAUUCUGAUGACAGGAAGAGAAGCCAGAAGAAAGUAAAAGUGCAUGGUGUUAAGUGUCAACAUCAACGUCACUGAUCCUAGGGUUAUUGCUGGGUCUCGUACGUGCAGGCUAUUGCAUUGAUAUAGCUUCUUCUAGGGGCCAUGGGGGUAAGAGGAUGCAAGUCCUAAAAAAUUUCUCUAUUGGGUUUAUUUUUGCUGGCUCAACAAGAGAGUUGCACUAUUAGACUUUUCUUUUGAAUAAUUUGAACUUUUAGAAUUUUCUAACACUUAUCUUAUAUUAAUGGUCAUAACUGAUUUCAUGGAUCUCUCAGUACCCUACAUAUUAAUGGUAUGUGAUAUGCGGCUAGCCUUGAGUAUAACAACAUCAUCAACUACAGAGUUUCUUGAGCAAGGAAAUUUGGUUAUAAAAUGACUAACCAGUUUCAUUUAAUUAGUAGAGUGUAAAAUGAAGAAUAUGUUGAAUAUCAUAACUAUAAUCAUUUGUUUAUGGCUCAGUUGGGGUCGUGCUGAUGGAGCUCAAAAGAGAGAAAGUGGAGAGCUUUCUUUUCACAGAAUUCAAGCAAGCUCUCUUUUUCCUUCAUUACCAGCACCAUGUGUUCUUCCUCCAAGAGGUGAGAUUAUUAUAAUAGCUAAUAAUACAGUUCAGUCUCUAAUUAAUGAUUCAUGAUCUUGCUAUAUAAUGAUGACUGGUGCCGAUAGAGGUUAAUAUUUUUUAGCCCUAAUUAAUUGAUUUCAGUAUCUAAUACGAAGUCGUCGCUUCACGUGGUGAACAGACACGGCCCAUGCUCGAGUCUAAGCAGCAAGAAAGCCACGAUCAGUCCCGACCAUGACGAGAUCCUCAGACUCGACCAGGCGCGCGUAAAAUCCAUUCACUCAAAGCUUUCAAAGAAGCUAACAGCCAGAGAUAGACUCAGUCAAAGCCAGUCAACAGUUCUACCGGCUACAGAUGGAAUCACACUCGGUUCAGGAAACUACAUCGUGACGGUCGGAAUCGGGACGCCGAAACACGAUCUCUCUCUGGUCUUCGACACAGGCAGCGAUCUGACGUGGACUCAAUGCGAGCCAUGUGGUAGAAAUGGAACAUGUUAUCCCCAAAAGGAGCCCAUCUUUAACCCAUCUUCCUCUUCUUCCUUCUCCAACGUCUCGUGCUCAUCGCCGUUCUGCGACUCUCUCGCUUCCCAAGGUCGCGUUAAAAAUUGUUUGGCUCCCAACUGCGACUACGGUGUCGGAUACGGCGAUAGAUCGUUCACCAUAGGAUUUCUCGCCACCGAGAAAUUUACUUUAGCGAACUCUGAUGUCUUCGACAAUGUUAUCUUUGGCUGCGGUGUGAACAACAAAGGAUUCAUUGGUAUCGCCGGACUUCUCGGUCUUGGCCGCGGCAAAGUCUCGUUUCCAUCGCAGACGGCGAUGACGUACAACAAUAUAUUCUCCUACUGCCUCCCUUCUUCCCCAGAGUACACUGGCCAUCUCACCUUCGGAUCAGCUGGAUUAUCUAACUCCGUCAAAUACACUCCCAUCUCCGCAGUCCCAUAUAGCGCAUCCUUUUAUGGCCUUGAUAUCGUAGGUAUCUCCGUCGACGACAAGCAACUGGAGAUCCCCUCCACUACCGGUGCUGUAAUCGACUCUGGUACCGUGAUUACUCGCCUACCACCCAUGGCCUACGCGGCACUGCGAACCGCGUUCAAGGAGA
rnacentral:lncRNA from 1 species